AUGGGUCGGUCGCCAUCCUCCACCGGUGUCGCCGGCGUGAAGAAGGGCCCGUGGACGGUAGAGGAGGAUAUACUGCUCAUAAACUACUUCCAGAGGCAUGGCAACGGCGGCAACUGGCGAACCUUGCCCCAGUGCGCCGGCCUGAACCGCUCCGGCAAGAGCUGCCGCCUCCGCUGGACCAACUACCUCCGCCCCAACAUCAAGCGCGGAACCUUCACCGACGAUGAGGAGAAAACCAUCAUACACCUCCACUCCAUUCACGGGAACAAGUAUGUGUAUUAUUCUCUGUUGUGUCUGUCGAUAUCUUUCUUCUUCUCCAACUCCGGUGUCAAGCCACACUGUGUCGCUGCUGAAUGCUUACGAAUUGAACUUUAA
rnacentral:rRNA from 1 species